ACCUGUAAUUGCUUCCGGGCUAGGGGUCUCGGUAUGCAGAGCAAAAUGGGCUUCAACUGUUCACUUACUUACAAAUGAUAGUUCACAUGAUACACCAGUCGGCACCGAUGUGAUGCAAAUUGGGAAAGUUUCACAUCCAAUCAAAUUGGAAAAUUUAUUUGCUUCAAGCAUCACAACACAAGGCUGUUUGUUUCACUGUAUCACACCUAAGACCAAUCUGGGAUAGCUCUCGCUGUAAACGAAUAAGGAACAUGGGAGGCCACCAAACACAGGCUGGGGUACUAGCGUGGAACUCGACCAUCUUGUUCUCCGGUAGCAGGGACAAAAACAUAGUUCAGCACGACAUCCGUGUC